rnacentral:rRNA from 2 species
GACGAACGCUGGCGGCGUGCCUAAUACAUGCAAGUCGAGCGGACAGAUGGGAGCUUGCUCCCUGAUGUUAGCGGCGGACGGGUGAGUAACACGUGGGUAACCUGCCUGUAAGACUGGGAUAACUCCGGGAAACCGGGGCUAAUACCGGAUGCUUGUUUGAACCGCAUGGUUCAAACAUAAAAGGUGGCUUCGGCUACCACUUACAGAUGGACCCGCGGCGCAUUAGCUAGUUGGUGAGGUAAUGGCUCACCAAGGCAACGAUGCGUAGCCGACCUGAGAGGGUGAUCGGCCACACUGGGACUGAGACACGGCCCAGACUCCUACGGGAGGCAGCAGUAGGGAAUCUUCCGCAAUGGACGAAAGUCUGACGGAGCAACGCCGCGUGAGUGAUGAAGGUUUUCGGAUCGUAAAGCUCUGUUGUUAGGGAAGAACAAGUACCGUUCGAAUAGGGCGGUACCUUGACGGUACCUAACCAGAAAGCCACGGCUAACUACGUGCCAGCAGCCGCGGUAAUACGUAGGUGGCAAGCGUUGUCCGGAAUUAUUGGGCGUAAAGGGCUCGCAGGCGGUUUCUUAAGUCUGAUGUGAAAGCCCCCGGCUCAACCGGGGAGGGUCAUUGGAAACUGGGGAACUUGAGUGCAGAAAAGGAGAGUGGAAUUCCACGUGUAGCGGUGAAAAUGCGUAAAGAUGUGGAGGAACACCAGUGGCGAAGGCGACUCUCUGGUCUGUAACUGACCCUGAAGAACGAAACGUGGGGGGCGAAAGGAUUAAUACCCUGGUAUCCC